rfam:Oryza glumipatula chromosome 1, whole genome shotgun sequence.
UUUAAGUGCAAUCAUAAGUUUCCGCGCCUAACUUUAAUCAUCCGUCUUAUUUGAAAUUUUUUUUAUAAUUAUUAAUUUUUAUUAUUAUAAGAUGAUAAAACAUAAAUAUUACUUUAUACGUGACUUAUGCUUUUUAUUUUUUUUAAAAAAAAUUUAAAUAAGACGAACGGUUAAAAUUGUGCACAGAAAAUUAUACCUGCACUUAAA